AUAUUCCAAAUUAUAGACGCCAACUGUGAGUUGAGGUUUAAUGCAUAGGUAACGGCAAGUCCAGCAAUGCCUGCAUAUACAAUAUGUAAGUAUGAAAUAUAGAGAACAUAGGGUGACCAAAGGCUUCCAUAAUCACCAAGAGCCUAAGUGCAUCUUAAAGCUUACUUGGAUUUAUAAAACCUUCAGGAAGGCUCACUAGCAGGGUCAAAGAGAAGGCAAAGACAAAGUUGGAUAGCAUGUUUAGCCUGAAAGAAAGCCACUCCAUUGAAGAAAUGUUAUGGAACCAUGGUCGGGAAUGGUUGUUGACAAGUCCAAGGAUGGGAGCUCUUUGGAUUUGUGAUAAACGAGCCAAUUCUCUUGCUGUUGGUAUGUAAUAUCGCUGCACAUUACACAUAGUAUAUGAAUUAAGAAUUUUGUGAAUGUUACUAUAAUUUAUGAAGAAAUGUGUUCUUAGCUUCUUGGAAGUCAUUGUGGCACACGAAGUAGCUUCUGCACAUGGUACUAUGGUAGUACAAAAGGCUAGUUAUAAACUAAAAUUCUUUGUUGGGAGUUCAUACCUGACACAUAAAGCAGACCACUGUUACUGGUACAAAGAUGGCAAAAACUGGCCAGGCAACCUGGGACAUAACACCAAUGGUCCCUAGAAUCUGUAUGACUGAAAAUACACACCAGCCAAGCUUGUUCGCUAUUUCCAGAUCUAGAACACUUUGGUCAUUAGAGGCCUGUUAAGAAUAAAUAUGCACCUGUUAGUUUAUGAGUGGUGAGGAUAUAGUAAAAAAUGGUCAACAAACUAAAUCAGUCUUAACCCUGUUCAGAAUUCUUCCAGUAGGCGUGGAGUCAAAGAAGGACAUCGGGGCUCGCAUGAUGCAUUGGAGCAUGUUUUUGAAGAACUUUUCUGAUGUUAGUAGCCCAAUUAGUGAAACAAGCAUGGACCGAGCGAAGACACACAAGGCACUUCCAAUUGACAAUGUUAUGUAUACAGCAAACAUAAGGCCUAAUCCGACCGUUGGCUUGGUUGCUGAUGUUGCAGGAGAUGCCCAUGCCAUCCAAUAAUUGCUUGCUACCUGAAAUAUUUGGAAGAAGGACUGUGCUGCAAUUGUGACUGGCACUAAGGCACCUCCAUAAACUGUCCUCAGUGGAUGUCAAUCUGCUAGAACUCUCGGCAUUUAUGACAGACUCAAGAGCCUGGCUG